rnacentral:misc_RNA from 1 species
GCAGAUUCAAGUAUGUAUUUUUAAUUAACUUCGAUUAAUGUUGGCACAUUGGGAAAAAUCCACUACACUUGAUGUCCAAAAUUCCAUGCACUUCAGAUACACCCCCCAGUCUCAAGGGCUUAAGAAACAAAAGGGAUAACAAACCACACCCGAUAAAUUGUUCUCUAACAAAAUUUGAAGCUAAAGAAAUGCGCUUUCUAAGAUUCACUCUUUUUCAGCUUUGCAAGCUCCUGCCUGACCAAUCCAGCUCUCUUUAUCUUGGCCAACAUUAGCUUGAACCUAUCAAAAUCAUUCAGGGAUGCCCUCCUCUUCUUGACAAGCAGUUUCCUCCCCCAAGAGCUAUCCUCCCACUUUUUCUGAACAUCAGCAGCCUUCAUAGCUUCAAUGAGUUCCUUCUUCCUAGGGACCCUCUUAAUGUCAAUUUUAAUAUCAGUAAGAGAAAGUCUCUUAAAGUUCAUUUGAGACCUGACCAUAUCAGGAGCAUCCACCAAAGCUCUGUUCUGGUCAAUGACAUCGACAAUGACGACGAGCUUUCCAUAGUCUUCGCCGUAGUUGACGAGGGCGACCCUUCCGAUCUCAACGAACCUCUUGAAAGGCAUCUUCGGGUUGUAGGGUUUUUCAGAAAGGGGCGACGAGCCU